GUUGAAGGUUUGAAGUGAGCUUCAAACCUUUACCCUUGAGGUAAUUUGUGUCCCGGUGGCGUGGCUUAGAUUACACGCGCUAUCCCAUGAGAGGCAAGACUGAUCUUGAUGUCCAUGACCCACUUAAGCAAGUUCUGGCCAUUGAGGGCAAGAGCCUCAAAUUACUUAGCCAUCAAUUACUUAAAGGGGCAAACCAGAGAUUAUUAAUUUACGAGUAGUAAAUUAAAGACCAUCAUGGUUAGUGUUGUAAUGAAUUUUGCAAAAUUGAUGGGUAUUUCAAGAAGUUAUCUUGAAACCAUUAGUGUGAACAUCAAAUUGCUAAGUAUGACAUCUUGAAGAUAAUCUUCGAAAGGGAGUAGAUCUCGCAGCACUAGGGAGUAUAAUCUGAUACUCACUCCUAAUGCCUUAUGUCAUGACUUAGUAAAAUGCAUGGGAGUGCACAAUGUUGUGCAAUCAUAAUGUCAAAUAUGACAAAAUAUAGGCUUUAUCAGUAGUCAUCAAUAAUCUGCGUAGGCAGUAGAUCCAUAUGACUACCUUGUGAUCCCAAGCAUCAUUUUGACGAAUCACUUUGAAUUUUGCAUUUGUAUUUGCAAGGAAUUGAAAAUCUCAAUUGCAAAUAGAAGUAUUAAUCUCGACAUGUGUUUAACAUGGAAAUAGAUACAUCAUCGAAAUAUUUUACUCAACGGAGAAACAGUACUGUAGAGGUACUGAAUUUAUCUUUGCAAGAGAUGAGAAAUCUCAAUUGCAAAUGAACGUAAUUAAUCUCAACACGUGGUAAACGUGGAAAUAUAUUACAUCAACUUAAUAUCUGGAAUACAUCUCGGUACUCAACAGAUACACACUACUAUCGUAAUGAAUAGUAAUGAUGUUGCAAACUUGAUGUUCAAGUGAAAAACUUGAAUUGUAUGGACCUCAAAUUAAAAUGAGAUGAUCUUGUAUCAAGUUGCAAGAUAAUUCAGCAAGGUGAAUUAAUAAUUUGCGAGAGAAAAUUGAUCUCAAUUGCAAUGAGAUUGUUUUGCGAGAAAAUGAUAAUUCUCAAUCGCAAAUCUAUAUUGUUGUGCGAGGAAACUUAAUCUCAAUCGCGGAAAGCUUGUUCUAGAAUUUUAGAGCGUAGAUUCACUCAUUUUGCUCCGUAUGUAGUCACUUGUUGAAACCUCUAGAAAGACAAGUAUUUAGGAACGGAGGGAGUAGUACUGUUAGCAUUGUUCAAAAUUAGCCUGGACCACUGUUUUACCCAUUUUGCAAAUUUCGCAAAAACAGGGACCUGCAUGCAAAAAUGGCAAAGGGAUAAGGUUGCCUCUACUCUCUCUCCUGUGCGGUUCCGCGUUGGGGAUUUUUCUACCGCCGUCUCGAGCGGCCUCGAGGGCUCGCCGGAGAAAGGAGAGGGAGGAUCUUGCCGUGCCGGAAGUCGCCGUCGCAGGGCGCUGGAAAGCGCCGUCACGGGCUUGAGACGCCCAGACGCGGCCGCUUCGGGCUGUGCGGGAGGCCGCCCGGUCGCUAUGUCUUGCCGCGACGUGCCGCCGGAGAGCGUCGUUGGUGGCGGCAGGACUCAACGCGGAGGUGUGAUCCGGCGGCGCGGCAGGAGACGAAGCCGCUGGAGCCGGCGUCUUGGUCCAGCGGGAACUGAAACCAAGCGAUGUCUCUUGCCGUGGAUGCCUUCGUCCUUCGUCAAGCGUAAGGCAAAAUUCUGUUCAUGGUAAAGCAAAUUUGUGUAGCCAUGAAGAAAAUUGGAAAAGUAGCACCUUGUUUCUCUGUAGCAAUUAGAUGAAGUUGGUACUCCAAUUUGCGUGGUGCUUGACUCCAGUCUCCGAUUCUCUUCCCAUCUUGGAGUUUAUUCGUCGGAUUUGCUGGCGCUCUCCAUCGGGGACGCUGCUAUUCGCCCCGUUCUUCUCCAGUGGCAUCUCUCUCGGGAGAGUUGUGCGCCUGUUUUCUCACACGCGCAGCGAGCGUGUUGGAGUUGUGUCGAAUAUACUGUACAAGGUAGGUUACAAUUGGACUUGUAGUAGUAUUGUGUGUAGACAGGGUAGGAGUUGUGUCUUAAUAGGACACCUGUAUCCUAGACCUCUCAUAUAUAUCGGGGGUAGACACACGAUGUAAUCUAUGCCAACAUAAUAGCACGGGCACGCGGGGAAGCCGGCGGCAUGUGCCGGCGGCAUGUGCCGGCGCCCGGGCGG
rnacentral:rRNA from 1 species